rnacentral:lncRNA from 7 species
ACACUGUAGCCCAUGGAUAAAGAUCACAGGAUUGCUAAGCUUAAGGAUAAGCAGUUUCAGGCAUGAGGUAGUGGCAGUCCUAUUUCAGUAGGACUUCAUACCAAGAAUGAGUGCAGGAUGAUACUAAAGCCUUUUGUCAUUUAAAUGGCACUUCAUCUGAGAAGUGAUCACUUCAAAAAUACAGGAAAAGAAGAUAGAGGCAGAACAGUGGAAUAAUACAGAGAAUAUGGAGGUCUGAAUAAAUAAGCAAAUUCAGCAUGCUGAUAGAAGGUGCAUUGAAAACUGUUGCUGUCAACAAGCCUGACAGAACACACCAAACUUACUGCAGCUGGGAAGGCAGUGCUCAAACUUCUCCUUAAUCUCCUACUAAGUGCACUGUGUGCAUCUGACUUUCCCAAAGGCUUGUAAAAGACUAUUCAUGAAACUUUGUGUCAGAUGCUGCACACGAGUUCUCUGGUUUUACAGAACUAUCACCAUUUGGUUUCUUCAAAGGCCCUAAAGCUCCUGGAAGCUAUUUCCAUUUAUUCUGGUUGUUGACAGGGACUGCUGGACCUCAGAGACCCGCUAUAUAACACAUUAUGCUAACAAAGGCUGUUGUCAUGCGUAGAGCAAUCUGCAGGGUGCCGGAUUGAUUUGCUUUUAGGCACUUAUGGAAAACCCUGCAUCUCUUGGGACAUUCACUGAUAAAUAUAAGGAUUAAAGAGUAUCCUGGUGAGCUAUGAACAAUGGUAUAGCACUCUCAGACUUCAGCGCAACCUCCAGUUAGAAAAACACUGAUGACAAAGACAUGACUGUUCCUGAGGAAGAGGCUAUGAAAUCUAAAAUGAAUGUUUUAAAGAAUGGGUUAGACAUAACAUGGUCUCAUUCCAGAUUGGUAUAACAGAUUUAAGCAUGGGGAUUUAACCAAGUGGGUGGAACGGUGAACCUGCAAAAGGGCCUUCUGUGUUGAAACGCAGUUCAUAAUUUUCCACUGCAAAACAACCACACAGAUGUUUCCUAUCACUUUUUGAACUUGAUAUGUUUUCAGAAGCGUGGCUGUCCAAGAAAGCUACGCGUGUGUAUUGAAGGCUGCACCUUAACUAAUUUACCCAAUGUCGUCUUUAUGACAUCUCUCUGCACCUGAUUUUUGCUGAGUUUCUAUGACCAUUUUAUAUACACCUUCCUUGAAGGACCUUGAAAAUCGAGUCUUCUAAAUUACUGUGCACUGAGAUUUUUCUUAAACUUACUCUUGCAUCUUCAUGUUAAAGAAUACAGCACUUACUUUUAUUCUCCAUUAUAAAAAUACAAAGCUGUGUGUUGUUAACUACUUGUACUGAAACUAUGGAAAUAGUUACUGUUAAUUAGUCGCGCCUCUUUUCAGACUACAUUUGGAAUGUGUAUUCUGUUGCAUAGCUUUAUUCAAUGUACAAACAAUUUCCUAAUACCUCCUGAAGCAUUCAUUCCACCAUGCAAUCUCUCAGGUAGUCAAACAACAUGAAAAAUGUUCAGCAGGGUUCUUGCAGAGGAAGAAGGCCUAACUGUACAUCAGUUUACACAAACAAAGGUUUUCAUGUUCUACUGGGGGGCCAAACAACAACAAAAUGCCUUAUCAGAGAGGUAUUAUUCCUUGUUGAUAGGAAAUCAAAUGCAAGUUUAAGAUGAAAUUAAUCAAAAGAAACAACUUUUUGCCUUUUGAGAUCAAGAUGUUUCUAUUCUUUUUUAUUUAAAAGCACACUACUAUUAACUGUCGAAGUUAUCUGGAAACUGUGUGGGAAUUCCU